UACGUUCUGCGCAUUCGUGAGACGUAAUACGUCUCCAUAACACCAGGGGGCGCUAAUCUGGAUUGUCGUCCAACAAUAAAAAC